AUUGAACGCUGGCGGCAUGCUUUACACAUGCAAGUCGAACGGUAACAGGCCGCAAGGUGCUGACGAGUGGCGAACGGGUGAGUAAUGCAUCGGAACGUGCCCAGUCGUGGGGGAUAACGCAGCGAAAGCUGCGCUAAUACCGCAUACGAUCUAUGGAUGAAAGCGGGGGACCGUAAGGCCUCGCGCGAUUGGAGCGGCCGAUGUCAGAUUAGGUAGUUGGUGGGGUAAAGGCUAACCAAGCCAACGAUCUGUAGCUGGUCUGAGAGGACGACCAGCCACACUGGGACUGAGACACGGCCCAGACUCCCACGGGAGGCAGCAGUGGGGAAUUUUGGACAAUGGGCGCAAGCCUGAUCCAGCAAUGCCGCGUGCAGGAAGAAGGCCUUCGGGUUGUAAACUGCUUUUGUACGGAACGAAACGGUCCUGGUUAAUACCUGGGGCUAAUGACGGUACCGUAAGAAUAAGCACCGGCUAACUACGUGCCAGCCGCCGCCGUAACAC
rnacentral:rRNA from 1 species